rnacentral:rRNA from 1 species
GACGAACGCUGGCGGUGUGCUUAACACAUGCAAGUCGAACGGUAAGGCCCUGCUUUUGUGGGGUGCUCGAGUGGCGAACUGGUGCGUAACACGUGGGUAACCUGCCCUUGACUUUGGGAUAACUUCCGAAAACUGGGGCUAAUACCGGAUAGGAGCUCCUCUUGCAAGGAGGGGGUUGGAAAGCUUCGACGGUUGGGGAUGGACCCGCGGCUUUUCCGCUUGUUGGUGGGGUAGUGGCUUACCAAGGCUUUUACGGGUGCCCGGGCUGCUAGGGUGACCGGCCACAUUGGGGCUGGGGUACGGCCCAGACUCCUACGGGAGGCAGCAGGUGGGAAUAUUGCACAAUGGGCGGAAGCCUGAUGCAGCAACGCCGCGGGCGGGAUGACGGCCUUCUGGUUGUAGACCGCUUUCGCCGUUGACGAAGCGUGAGUGACAGUAAUGGGGAAAGAAGCACCGGCUAACUACGUG